AUUGAACGCUGGCGGUAUGCUUAACACAUGCAAGUCGAACGGUAACAGGCCUUCGGGCGCUGACGAGUGGCGGACGGGUGAGUAAUGCAUAGGAAUCUGCCGAUUAGUGGGGGACAACUUAGGGAAACUUAAGCUAAUACCGCAUACGUCCUACGGGAGAAAGGUGGGGAUCUUCGGACCUGCCGCUAAUCGAUGAGCCUAUGUUGGAUUAGCUAGUUGGUGGGGUAAAAGGCCUACCAAGGCGACGAUCCAUAGCUGGUCUGAGAGGAUGAUCAGCCACACUGGGACUGAGACACGGCCCAGACUCCUACGGGAGGCAGCAGUGGGGAAUAUUGGACAAUGGGCGAAAGCCUGAUCCAGCAACGCCGCGUGACUGAUGAAGUCUUUCGG
rnacentral:rRNA from 1 species